CGACGUGAGGAACCUGCCUCAAAGAGGGGGACAACAGUUGGAAACGACUGCUAAUACCGCAUAAGCCCACAGCUCGGCAUCGAGCAGAGGGAAAAGGAGCAAUCCGCUUUGAGAUGGCCUCGCGUCCGAUUAGCUAGUUGGUGAGGCAACGGCCCACCAAGGCGACGAUCGGUAGCCGGACUGAGAGGUUGAACGGCCACAUUGGGACUGAGACACGGCCCAG
rnacentral:rRNA from 1 species